UACGUAGGGUGCAAGCGUUGUCCGGAAUUAUUGGGCGUAAAGAGCUCGUAGGCGGUCUGUCGCGUCUUCUGUGAAAACUCAGGGCUUAACCCUGAGCUUGCAGUGGGUACGGGCAGACUAGAGUGCGGUAGGGGUGACUGGAAUUCCUGGUGUAGCGGUGGAAUGCGCAGAUAUCAGGAGGAACACCGAUGGCGAAGGCAGGUCACUGGGCCGCAACUGACGCUGAGGAGCGAAAGCAUGGGGAGCGAACAGG
rnacentral:rRNA from 1 species